rnacentral:rRNA from 1 species
UAGGGAAUAUUGGUCAAUGGGCGAAAGCCUGAACCAGCCACGCCGCGUGCAGGAAGAAGGUCCUCUGGAUUGUAAACUGCUUUUGCCAAGGGAUAAAGAGAGGCUAUACGCCUAAAUGAAGGUACUUGGUGAAUAAGCCACGGCUAACUACGUGCCAGCAGCCGCGGUAAUACGUAGGUGGCAAGCGUUGUCCGGAUUCACUGGGUUUAAAGGGUGCGUAGGCGGCUCCAUAAGUCAGUCGUUAAAGGUAUGGGCUUAACCCAAAUAAGGCGAUUGAUACUGUGGAGCUUGAAUUCGUUGGAGGUAUCCGGAAUGCGUAGUGUAGCGGUGAAAUGCACAGAUAUUACGCAGAACACCAAUUGCGGAGGCAGGAUACUACGACGAGAUUGACGCUGAGGCACGAAAGUGUGGGGAGCGAACA